ensembl:lncRNA
AUGAGACAACAAACAGAUGUGAGACGAUGCUGUCUGAAAUGGACCCAUACUGACUUGAAUAUACGUACCAAAACACUAGAAAUCACGUUGUUACCAUACUGGAGUCUUUCCUGUUCCAUCACUUAAGCUGUGUACAAAGCUCUGGCAUGUCCCGUGAACCAGCAGGCACCUGCAGCCCUAUCCCUUGGCAUUACGCACAGGAAAAGAAAUGGCACAGCAUGAUAGCUUAUCCCUUAGUUCACUUCAAGAAAAGCAAGCAUAUCCUGAAUUACUGACAAUCACCAAGCUGAUCACCUUACGGAUCAGGAUGUGACAUUGGAGCUCUUCUCUCCAGCAACCAGAAGAGACAAAUAGCAGGGGAAUCAUUGAUUCAAAGGUCUGCAAGAGAAAUACUCACCUAUGGAGAGCAGGAGACAAAUCCAGCCUAGUUCAGGUGCAGCUGAAAGCUGUCCUCAGCCAAAGCCUCAGCAGUUACCAGAAUGCAAACAAAGCUAUUCUUCAUGCGUUCCUUUUUUAAGUUGAUCACAAUGCCUGCCAUUAAAAAAAGAAUAACAAUCAAAAUAAUCCUACGUGGCUUUUGUUGGAAUCAAAAAACAGGAGAAAAAUCACAGAAACGUGGUGGAAUGACUCACACAGCUGGAGUGCUG